AAACAAGAAGCAAAAUUUGCAUUUAAUUUCGACCUAAAAAUCUGAUGACUUUCAUCCUUGUUUU
rnacentral:tRNA from 1 species